GACGAACGCUGGCGGCGUGCUUAACACAUGCAAGUCGAGCGGAAAGGCCCUUUCGGGGUACUCGAGCGGCGAACGGGUGAGUAACACGUGAGUAAUCUGCCCUUCACUUGGGGAUAACUGCCGGAAACGGUGGCUAAUACCCGAUAUGACCAAUCACUGCAUGGUGUGUUGUUGGAAAGUUUUUUCGGUGGAGGAUGUGCUGGCGGCCUAUGAGCUUGUUGGUGGGGUAAUGGCCUACCAAGGCUUCGACGGGUAGCCGGCCUGAGAGGGUGACCGGCCACACUGGGACUGAGACACGGCCCAGACUCCUACGGGGGGCAGCAGUGGGGAAUAUUGGACAAUGGGCGAAAGCCUGAUCCAGCAACGCCGCGUGAGGGAUGACGGCCUUCGGGUUGUAAACCUCUUUCAGCGGGGACGAAGCGCCGGUAAUGGUGGUGACGGUACCCGCAGAAGAAGCACCGGCCAACUACGUGCCAGCCGCAGUAACAC
rnacentral:rRNA from 1 species